UGUCGAUGCAGCUUCUUCCACAGCAGGGUGCAAGUGAACGGUCACUAAGCGAAUGGUUGCAAGUCGAGGACUACCUGCAUUCAAAAUCACUCGUCUCCGGCUUUUCGUUAGAAAUGAUUCGGUGGCUCUUUAAUGAUCGAGUAGCCGAGUGAUUCUUUUUGACGGAAGAAAGAAGAAGGUGAAAAGUUGCUUGUUAGCAUGGCAAAGCAGGACUGAAAACUCAAUUAAUUGCUGAAGGGCAUAGAUUUAAUCUGGACAAGUUCCCUGAAUUAAUUCUUGUUCCUUCGACUUCAAAGCCGCAUUAAACAAGAGCCAGGAAAACUUCAUU